AACGAACGCUGGCGGCAUGCCUAACACAUGCAAGUCGAACGAAACCUUCGUGCCUUUUGGCGGACCUCUACUUAACGCCGGGUAACCUGCCCUUGGGUUCGCAGUCACUCCCCUUAGGGUAUGCUAAGACCAGAUAAGCUCUUCGCGGCAACGAUUUCUCGCUUUAUGAUGGGCCCUCGUUAGCUUCGCUAGUUGGUAGUGUAAUAGCAUACCAUCGCGACGAUGCAUAGCUGGUCUGAUAGGAUGAUACGCCAGGAUGGGACUGAGACACGGCCCAGAAUCCUACGGGAGGCAGCAGUGGGGAAUAUUGGACAAUGAGCGAAAGCGUAAUCAAGCAAUGCCGCGUGAGUGAUGAAGGGCUUAGGGUUGUAAAGCUCUUUUACACGGGAUGAUAAUGACGGUAACGGGAGAAUAAGCUCCGGCUAACUACGUG
rnacentral:rRNA from 1 species